GCAGAGGUGGCUCAGAGGUAGAAUUCCUGCCUUCCGUCCAGGAGGCCCAGGUUCGAUUCCUGGCGAGCGCA
rnacentral:tRNA from 1 species